GGGCGAUGGAUUGAUACUGUUUAACCAUGCGUGUAAGUGCUCUCUUUACUAUGCUGCCAUAGUAACCCGAAGAAUGCUUUCCUUAG
rnacentral:tRNA from 1 species